AUAGAUUACCUUUGACCAUAAACACACACACACACACACACACACACACACACACACACACACACACGUGUUAAGAAAAAAGUGUGGGUUGGGGAUUUAGCUCAGUGGUAGAGUGCUUGCCUAGCAAGGCCCUGGGUUCGGUCCCCAGCUCUGAAAAAAAAAAAAGAAAGAAAGAAAAAAGUGUGAUGAGCUCAACAUUUUCUUUCAGAUGUGUUGAGGGUUUUUCUCUUGUUGCUGGAGUGUCAGCAUGGCCAAUGUUGUCAAAAUCAAGAAAGUUGCAAGGCAACAGCAAAAGUCCUACCCUUUGCCCCUUCUGUGCAGUGUUACUAGAAUGCUGGACCCCUUAUGUGUAAAUAAGAACAACUGGGUGAUUUGCUCUCUGUAUUUUCACAGCUUGGGGUUUCAGUCAUUCCCUUCCGCUUGUACUAGCCACGCACAUGUGCAUGCAUUCGUAUCGGUGUGGAAACUCAGGAGUAGCCUUGUGUAUCUCAUAGAACAGAGUCCAGUUAGCAAUGAGUUGGAUUGCCAGCGGUGAUAACUCCCUGAUAGAAACGUGUGUUGAUUUACCCGCAGGAAAUUCAGAGUGGUUCGUGCUGACUCCUACUUGAAGAACUUUGCUUCUGACCGGUCUCACAUGAAGGACUCGAGUGGGAACUGGAGAGAGCCCCCUCCAGAGUACCCCUGCAUUGAAACUGGAGACUCCAAAAUGAACCUGAACGACUUCAUCAGCAUGGACCCUGCAGUAGGAUGGGGAGCUGUCUACACGCUGUCUGAGUUUGUACAUCGGUUCAGCAGCAAAAACUACUGAGCCUAAUGCUAGCUUGUGCAACUAGAGGAACUCUAGGGUAGGAAUAAGCCAACCUCCAUUCCAGAGAGCAGUGAGGUACAGGUGGCCUAGAGGUAUAUAUAUUUCUCAUUAAAUUUGAUUGGAAAAUUAGUGAACACAAAUAAAAGUGAAUGAAUAAGCCCCCCCCUUUUUUUUUCAGCCUGGGGAUCUAUCCCAGAGUUCUGUCUCCAACCCUAAUCAGUCAGUCCCCAGCCUCAGACAUUAAUGAUGUGUCACAUUGGGUAUAUGGUUACUAAAAUGUUUCCCUGGCUUUCUUAUUUCAAUGUGUGAGAUGUAGACCAGCAACUGCUUUUGUAAAACUAGAAGUGUGGACUUGGAGUCAGCUCCUUUGGUCUGCUGUGUCUGCUUCCUGUCUGGCUAGACUCUAAACUCCUUGAGCACAGGGUUGUGGCCUGUGGCUCUAAGACUCUGUUGCCCAUUAGAGGGACCGGUAAAACGUUUCUAGAGACAGCUCUGCUGCUUGGAAAGGGACACUAUUGUGAGCUGAAUCAGCUGUAAGUAUUAGUCUUUUUGGACUACAAUGUUUAAAAAAGUUGCCAAUACCUUGUCUGAGUGUUAUUUGGCCCAUUUACAAAUGUAGCUUUAAAUAAAAAUGACUUAAUUUUGUUUUUGAA
rnacentral:lncRNA from 1 species